rfam:Mosquito flavivirus gene for polyprotein, complete cds, strain: YDFV/Oct/2013
ACCACCGCAAGGGAGGGGAUUCCCCUCGGGUGUGGACGACACCCCGGCCCCA